rfam:Arthrobacter sp. P2b genome assembly, contig: Ga0157235_118
CGAGCUGUGACGGGAGAGUCCUCCCGGAGCAACACCGGGCAGGCGCCGUAGGAGCAAAUCCUCCCCAGGAAUCUCUCAGGCCCAUGUACCGUCACGGCGAG